GGGAUUAUAGUUUAAUAAGAAUGAGAAUUUUGUAAAUUUUUAGUAAUAUAUACAUAUUUGAUCCUU
rnacentral:tRNA from 1 species